GACGAACGCUGGCGGCGUGCUUAACACAUGCAAGUCGAACGGAAAGGCCCUGCUUUUGUGGGGUGCUCGAGUGGCGAACGGGUGAGUAACACGUGAGUAACCUGCCCUUGACUUUGGGAUAACUUCAGGAAACUGGGGCUAAUACCGGAUAGGAGCUCCUGCUGCAUGGUGGGGGUUGGAAAGUUUCGGCGGUUGGGGAUGGACUCGCGGCUUAUCAGCUUGUUGGUGGGGUAGUGGCUUACCAAGGCUUUGACGGGUAGCCGGCCUGAGAGGGUGACCGGCCACAUUGGGACUGAGAGACGGCGCAGACUCCUACGGGAGGCAGCAGUGGGGAAUAUUGCAGAAUGGGCGGAAGCCUGAUGCGGCAACGCCGCGUGCGGGAUGACGGCCUUCGGGUUGUAAACCGCUUUCGCCUGUGACGAAGCGUGAGUGACGGUAAUGGGUAAAGAAGCACCGGCUAACUACGUG
rnacentral:rRNA from 1 species